rnacentral:rRNA from 1 species
UAACACAUGCAAGUCGAACGCGAAAGUCCCGAAAGGGAUAAGUAGAGUGCAAACGGGUGAGUAACGCGUGGGUGACCUGCCUUCGAGCGGGGGAUAACGUUCCGAAAGGGACGCUAAUACCGCAUAACAUCCUGCCUUUGAAGAGGUGGAGAUCAAAGCCGGGGAUCGCAAGACCUGGCACUUGAAGAGGGGCCCGCGUCUGAUUAGCUAGUUGGUGAGGUAACGGCUCACCAAGGCAUCGAUCAGUAUCCGGCCUGAGAGGGCGGACGGACACACUGGGACUGAGACACGGCCCAGACUCCUACGGGAGGCAGCAGUGGGGAAUUGUUCGCAAUGGGCGCAAGCCUGACGACGCAACGCCGCGUGGAGGAUGAGGAUUUUCGGAUCGUAAACUCCUGUCGAAUGGGACGAAAAGAUUGCGGGUGAACAGCCCGCGGUCCUGACGGUACCGUUAAAGGAAACCCCGGCUAACUCCGUGCCAGCAGCCGCGGUAAUACGGGGGGGGUAAGCGUUGUUCGGAAUUACUGGGCGUAAAGGGCUCGUAGGCGGCCAGCUAAGUCAGACGUGAAAUCCCUCAGCUUAACUGGGGAACUGCGUCUGAUACUGGAUGGCUUGGAUUCGGGAAAGGAAUGCGGAAUUCCAGGUGUAGCGGUGAAAUGCGUAGAUAUCUGGAGGAACACCGGUGGCGAAGGCGGCAUUCUGGACCACAUUGACGCUGA